rnacentral:pre_miRNA from 1 species
UGGACAGAUUAUUGUAUUCGACUGUAUUCACGGCGUGAAAUAAGGGAUUACAUUGUUUUUAAAACGAAAGUGAAUCAAUUAACAUAAUAGUGUAACU